rnacentral:rRNA from 1 species
GAGUUUGAUCCUGGCUCAGGAUGAACGCUAGCGGCAGGCUUAACACAUGCAAGUCGAGGGGCAGCGCGGGGCGGCAACGUCCUGGCGGCGACCGGCGGAAGGGUGCGUAACGCGUGAGCGACAUGCCCGUUGCCCGGGGACAACCGGUGGAAACGCCGACUAAUCCCCGAUGGGACGGAGGCCCUCAUGGGUCUCUGUUGAAAGUUACGGCGGCGACGGAUUGGCUCGCGUCCGAUUAGCUUGUUGGCGGGGUAACGGCCCACCAAGGCUACGAUCGGUAGGGGUUCUGAGAGGAAGGUCCCCCACAAUGGAACUGAGACACGGUCCAUACUCCUACGGGAGGCAGCAGUGAGGAAUAUUGGUCAAUGGGCGGAAGCCUGAACCAGCCAUGCCGCGUGCGGGAAGGAGGCCCUAUGGGCUGUGAACCGCUUUUGCCUGGGGGCAAUAAGGGCGUCGCGCACGUCCGAUGAGAGUACCAGGGGAAUAAGCAUCGGCUAACUCCGUGCCAGCCGCCGCGGUAAUAC